GCAUCGAUGAAGAACGCAGCAAACUGCGAUAAGUAAUGUGAAUUGCAGAAUUUAGUGAAUCAUCGAAUCUUUGAACGCAAAUGGCGCUCUUGGGCCCUCCCAGGAGCACGUCUGUCUGAGCGUCGUUUCUCACAUCCAACACAGCAAUGUGUCGGGCACUGAGGCGUCCCGUUGUAACACACAGACAUGCAUCUCGGUACGUGUGUGUGUGUAAGCGAUCGGUCCCUUCAAGUAGAGCGAUCCCCGAGCUGCAGCAAGUACCCUAACCGGUCUGCUGGUCUCGGCGUGAUAGAAAUAUCGACGUCUGAGCCUGUAGAUGUCAAGGUGGGCUUUUGUACCUCUCAACUCUGGAAUGAUCGAUGGAUACGGAGCAGAGAAGAGCACGAGAGAGAGAGCAAUCUCUCGCGUGUCCCCCCUUUGCUGACCAACCAAGACCUCAGAUCAGGCGAGACUACCCGCUGAACUUAAGCAUAUCAAUAAGCGGAGGA
rnacentral:rRNA from 1 species